rnacentral:piRNA from 1 species
UGACGGAGAUCAUGCGGUGCCCGGU